GAUGUACUCCCUCCGUCUGAAAAUACUUGUCAUCAAAAUGGAUAAAAAGGGAUGUAUUUAGAACUAAAAUACAUCUAGAUACAUCUCAUUUUAUCCAUUUUGAUGACAAGUAUUUCCGAACGGAGGGAGUAGUAC
rnacentral:pre_miRNA from 1 species